rnacentral:rRNA from 1 species
GACGAACGCUGGCGGCGUGCUUAACACAUGCAAGUCGAACGGAAAGGCCUGCUUUCCCUUGUGGAUUGCGGGUACUCGAGUGGCGAACGGGUGAGUAACACGUGAGUGAUCUGCCCCCAACUUGGGUAUAAGCCUGGGAAACUGGGUCUAAUUCCCGCUAGGACUGCAGGGUGGUGCCUGUGGUGGAAAACGAUUUUCUAGUGGUUGGGGAUGAGCUCGCGGCCUAUCAGCUGGUUGGUGGGGUAAUGGCCUACCAAGGCGGGGACGGGUAGCCGGCCUGGGGUGGUGGGCGGGCACGGGUGGACUGCGACACGGCGCAGGAUCCUACGGCAGGCAGCAGUGGGGAGGAAGGCGCGAGGGAUAGUGGCCUGUGGGCGGAACGCCGAUUGGGCGACGACGGCCGUCGGGUUGUGACCUCCUGUCGGCCGCGAGGAAGCCACCGGGAUGGAGGGGGGGUGACGGUAGUGGUAGAAGAAGCACCGGCUAACUACGUG